GACUAUGUUUAGUAGCUUACCAUCUUAAAGUUUCAAGACCUAAUCUGUCUGCCCUGAGUAGACUUUCUAUUUCUUUCGGUGAUUUGGCUAAAGUGUGAACGUCUUCCUCCUUAUCGAAGGCAAGAUUUGUCAAUCGAUCUGCACAGCAGUUACCUUCCCUCCAGAGAUUUUGCUAGCAGUAAUUCUUGACGGAGUCCCCAAAUUUCGGCCAUGGUACUAGUUGAUUUUCCAAUAUUUAUCAUGAAUCCAUGAACCCAGUUACCUUCCUCGUCUGAGUUUAAGAUCCCACCGUCUGAGUUCCGCCGUCGCGUAACCAGAAUUUGUUUUACAAGCACCAUCUGAGUCUAAGAUCCAAUAGCCCCUUGGUGGUCGUCUCCAUUUCACCCACCUGGGUUCCUUAAAAAUUCUGGAGAAUACUCUUGUAUUUCUUGGAUAUUAGUUGUUUCUUCCAUGGCUAUUAUCUCAUGGUCUUUCGAGCAUCCCACUUCAUCACUGGUUCUCUGGUAAGUUUCCUUGUUUAUAUUCUCAGUCGUUUGUAACUUGAGUUGGUAAGCACUGUUAUUGUUCUUUUGAAAUUCGAUAUCCUUUUUCAGAGAGUUUGUGUCUUUACCUUUUCUGUUUGAUUUUUUACUUCCAAUAUUGGUAAUUUUGGCAGUAUUUUGAGGCGUCGAAUAGUUAUGGGCAGCCUUCGGACUUUCUCCUGUUCUGUUUCCUUUCCCAAUCUGUCUUUGGGUAGCCAAAAAUUUCUUUAUGUUAUUGUCACUUCUCUUUUCAAUAUCAUUUUGUGUGCAUUGACAUCAAUUUCCAUUACAUUUCCGGGGAUAUCUAAUUCCUUCUCCAUUGCCAUAAGUGUUGUAUUAGUAUCAUUUAUUGUAUUAGUAUCAUCUAAUUCCUUCUGUUAUCAGUUUGAUUCUAUCUUUUGCGCUUUGAAAUUUCACGGCAUAAAACCCGUUUCCAAGGUCGAUGUAGUCAAAGACACUUUCCAUAUUCCACAUUGUAGUUAUCCUGUUUAGCAGAAUUUUGUAGUUUAUGGUCUUUACCAGUAACUUGAUUAUUAAGGCUUUUUUUUUUGCUAGGGUUUUCUGAUCUUAUUCUUUAAUUCUUGUGAAAUCUUUAUUGUUGGUACGCCAUCUUCUUAUGGUUCUUCCUCAUCCUCUGAUUCGUAAACCUCUUCUUCAAUUCUACUUAAACUUUGGAACAUGCCCUUAAAGCUGGGUUUUGUUGUUGUUGUUGCCGUUUUGGUCACCUCUGUGAUCGGCGACCCUCCUGCAUGGAAAACUCAGUCGCAAGAUGUCAACAUUUAGAUAAUAGCACAAAUGAAGAAGAAGUAAGAGCUAUAUGAAAGAAUAUUGAUUUUUACUUUUCAUUCUGUAUUAUGUACACUCAACUAAUAUAUUUAUAUACACUAA